AUUGAACGCUGGCGGCAGGCCUAACACAUGCAAGUCGAGCGGAUGAAGGGAGCUUGCUCCUGGAUUCAGCGGCGGACGGGUGAGUAAUGCCUAGGAGGCUGCCUGGUAGUUGGGGAUAACGUCCGGAAACGGGCGCUAAUACCGCAUACGUCCUGAUGGAGAAAGUGGGGGAUCUUCGGACCUCACGCUAUCAGAUGAGCCUAGGUCGGAUUAGCUAGUUGGUGGGGUAAAGGCCUACCAAGGCGACGAUCCGUAACUGGCCUGAGAGGAUGAUCAGUCACACUGGAACUGAGACACGGUCCAGACUCCUACGGGAGGCAGCAGUGGGGAAUAUUGGACAAUGGGCGAAAGCCUGAUCCAGCCAUGCCGCGUGUGUGAAGAAGGUCUUCGGAUCGUAAAGCACUUUAAGUUGGGAGGAAGGGCAGUAAGUUAAUAUCUUGCUGUCUUGACGUUACCAACAGAAUAAGCAACGGCUAACUUCGUG
rnacentral:rRNA from 1 species